GCCAGCGGUUAGGCCGGGAACUCAAAGGAGACUGCCAGUGAUAAACUGGAGGAAGGUGGGGAUGACGUCAAGUCAUCAUGGCCCUUACGACCAGGGCUACACACGUGCUACAAUGGCGCAUACAAAGAGAAGCGACCUCGCGAGAGCAAGCGGACCUCAUAAAGUGCGUCGUAGUCCGGAUUGGAGUCUGCAACUCGACUCCAUGAAGUCGGAAUCGCUAGUAAUCGUGGAUCAGAAUGCCACGGUGAAUACGUUCCCGGGCCUUGUACACACCGCCCGUCACACCAUGGGAGUGGGUUGCAAAAGAAGUAGGUAGCUUAACCUUCGGGAGGGCGCUUACCACUUUGUGAUUCAUGACUGGGGUGAAGUCGUAACAAGGUAACCGUAGGGGAACCUGCGGUUGGAUCACCUCCUUACCUUAAAGAA
rnacentral:rRNA from 1 species